CGGAGAGGGAGCAUGAGAAACGGCUACCACAUCUAAGGAAGGCAGCAGGCGCGCAAAUUACCCAAUCCUUACACAGGGAGGUAGUGACAAGAAAUAACAAUACGUUAGAAUGUUCUUACGUAAUUGGAAUGAUUUGACUGUAAACUUGUCGGAGAGUACCAAUUGGAGGGCAAGUCUGGUGCCAGCAGCCGCGGUAAUUCCAGCUCCAAUAGCGUAUGCUAAAAUUGUUGCGGUUAAAACGCUCGUAGUUGUACGUUCCCCCAGGGCACUCGGAUUUUUCGUACAGAAGGUUCCGAGUGGUCUGUGAAAUUAUCUUACAAAGCGGUCUCUUGCUGAGCACGCGGAAAGGGAUACUUGUACCUUGAAGAAAUUAGAGUGCUUCAAGCAGAUUAUUGUCUGAAUAUUAUAGCAUGGAAUAGUUGGAGAAGACACUGGUUCUAUUAGAGAUUUGUAGAGCAGGUGUAAUAGUUGAGAGGAACAGAAGGGGGCAUUCAUAUUCGCAUGUGAGAGGUGGAAUUCUUGGGUCUUGCGAAGGUGGACUACUGCGAAAGCAUUUGUCAAGAAUGUUUUCAUUAAUCAAGAACGAAAGUUAGGGGAUCGAAGACGAUUAGAUACCGUCCUAGUCUUUACCAUAAACCAUACCUUUUGGAGAUCAGGUGAACCUCGAACGCAGAGGAUUCUGGCAUCCUAGGGGAAACUAAAAUUUUUGGGUUCCGGGGGGAGUAUGGUCGCAAGACUGAAACUUAAAGGAAUUGACGGAAGGGCACCACCAGGAGUGGAGCUUGCGGCUUAAUAUGACUCAACGCGAGAAAUCUCACCAGGUCCAGACAUGGAAGGAUGACAGAGAAGC
rnacentral:rRNA from 1 species